CCUACGGGUGGCAGCAGUGAGGAAUAUUGGUCAAUGGGCGAGAGCCUGAACCAGCCAAGUCGCGUGAAGGAUGACUGCACUACGGGUUGUAAACUUCUUUUAUCAAGGAAUAAAGUGAGGCACGAGUGCCUUUUUGUAUGUACCUUAUGAAUAAGGAUCGGCUAACUCCGUGCCAGCAGCCGCGGUAAUACGGAGGAUCCGAGCGUUAUCCGGAUUUAUUGGGUUUAAAGGGAGCGUAGAUGGGUUGUUAAGUCAGUUGUGAAAGUUUGCGGCUCAACCGUAAGAGUGCAAUUGAUACUGGCAGUCUGGAGUACAGGUGAGGUAGGCGGAAUUCGUGGUGUAGCGGUGAAAUGCUUAGAUAUCGCGAAGAACUCCGAUUGCGAAGGCAGCUUACGAGACUGCCACUGACGUUGAGGCUCGAAAGUGUGGGUAUCGAACAGGAUUAGAUACCCCGGUAGUC
rnacentral:rRNA from 1 species